AUGGCGUAUAUGAAAGCGACUAACUUAGUCGACCUCCUCGAUCUUGGGGCCAGCACCGCCGCUGGCAGCCGGCGCGUCCUCGUCCAUGCCUCCCGGCAUGUCAGCACCAGCGCCCUGGUACAUCUUGGCGAUGAUGGGGUUGCAGAGGCCCUCCAGCUCCUUCAUCUUGUCCUCGAACUCGUCAACCUCACCAAGCUGGUUGGCGUCAAGCCACUGGAUCGCAGCGUCGACAGCGUCCUCGAUCUUCUUCUUGUCGUCAGCGGGCAGCUUGGAGGCGAUCUUCUCGUCCUGGAUGGUGUUCCUCAUGUUGUAGGCGUAGUUCUCCAGGGAGUUCUUGGCGUCAACCUUCUUCUUGUGCUCCUCGUCCUCAGACUUGUACUUCUCUGCGUCCUGGACCAUCUUCUCAAUGUCGUCCUUGCUCAGCCUGCCCUUGUCGUUGGUGAUGGUGAUCUUGUUCUUCUGGCCAGUGGUCUUGUCCUCAGCAGAGACAUUCAGGAUACCGUUGGCAUCAAUGUCGAAGCAGACAGUGAUCUGGGGAACACCCCUGGGUGCAGGCGGGAUGCCGGAGAGCUCAAACUUGCCGAGCAGGUUGUUGUCCCUGGUCCUUGUCCUCUCACCCUCAAACACCUGGAUGAGCACACCAGGCUGGUUGUCGGAGUAGGUGGAGAAGACCUGCUCCUUCUUGGUGGGGAUGGUGGUGUUCCUGGUGAUGAGCACAGUCAUGACUCCUCCAGCAGUCUCAAGACCAAGAGACAGUGGGGUCACAUCGAGGAGGAGAAGGUCCUGCACCUUCUCGUUCCCCUCACCGCUGAGGAUUGCAGCCUGCACGGCAGCACCGUAGGCAACAGCUUCAUCAGGGUUGAUGCUCUUGCAGAGCUCCUUCCCGUUGAAGAAGUCCUGCAGCAGCUGCUGAACUCUGGGGAUCCUGGUGGAACCACCAACAAGCACGACAUCAUGGAUAGUGCUCUUGUCCAUCUUGGCAUCCCUCAGGCACUUCUCCACUGGCUCCAUGCACUUCCUGAAGAGGUCCAUGUUGAGCUCCUCAAACCUGGCCCUGGUGAUGGUGGAAUAGAAAUCAACUCCCUCAAAGAGUGA
rnacentral:rRNA from 1 species